UACGUAGGGGGCUAUCGUUGUCCGGAUUUAUUGGGCGUAAAGAGCGUGUAGGCGGCCAGGUAGGUCUGCUGUGAAAACUCGAGGCUCAACCUCGAGACGUCGGCGGAAACCAUCUGGCUAGAGUCCGGAAGAGGAGAGUGGAAUUCCUGGUGUAGCGGUGAAAUGCGCAGAUAUCAGGAGGAACACCAAUGGCGAAGGCAGCUCGCUGGGACGUGACUGACGCUGAGACGCGAAAGCGUGGGGAGCAAACAGG
rnacentral:rRNA from 1 species